UAAGGAAUAUUGCUCAAUGGGAGAAAUCCUGAAGCAGCAACGCCGCGUGGAGGAUGAAGGGUCUAUGACUUGUAAACUCCUGUAAAGAAGGAAAAAAUUCCCAUUUGAUGGGAGAUGAUGGUACUUCUGGAGUAAACCCCGGCUAACUACGUGCCAGCAGCCGCGGUAAUACGUAGGGGGCAAGCGUUGUCCGGAUUUACUGGGUGUAAAGGGUGCUCAGGCGGAUUUGUAAGUCAGAGGUGAAAUCUUACAGCUUAACUGUGAAACUGCCUUUGAUACUGCAAGACUAGAGUAUGGAAGAGAGUGAUGGAAUAUCUGGUGUAGCAGUGAAAUGCGUAGAUAUCAGAUAGAACACCAAUGGCGAAGGCAGUCACUUGGUCCAUUACUGACGCUAAAGCACGAAAGCGUGGGUAGCAAACA
rnacentral:rRNA from 1 species